rnacentral:rRNA from 1 species
UGGGGAAUAUUGGACAAUGGGCGCAAGCCUGAUCCAGCAAUGCCGCGUGGAUGAAGAAGGUCUUCGGAUUGUAAAGUCCUUUCGGCGGGGACGAUGAUGACGGUACCCGCAGAAGAAGCCCCGGCUAACUUCGUGCCAGCAGCCGCGGUAAUACGAAGGGGGCUAGCGUUGCUCGGAAUGACUGGGCGUAAAGGGCGCGUAGGCGGCCUGGUUAGUUAGAUGUGAAAUUCCUGGGCUUAACCUGGGGACUGCAUUUAAUACAGCCAAGCUUGAGUGUGGAAGAGGGUCGUGGAAUUCCCAGUGUAGAGGUGAAAUUCGUAGAUAUUGGGAAGAACACCGGUGGCGAAGGCGGCGACCUGGUCCAUUACUGACGCUGAGGCGCGAAAGCGUGGGGAGCAAACA